CGGCGGACGGGUGAGUAACGCGUAGGAAUCUGCCCAGUAGAGGGGGAUAGCCCGAGGAAACUCGGAUUAAUACCGCAUACGCCCUAAGGGGGAAAGCAGGGGAUCUUCGGACCUUGCGCUAUUGGAUGAGCCUGCGUUGGAUUAGCUAGUUGGUAGGGUAAAGGCCUACCAAGGCGACGAUCCAUAGCUGGUCUGAGAGGAUGAUCAGCCACACUGGGACUGAGACACGGCCCAG
rnacentral:rRNA from 1 species